rnacentral:rRNA from 1 species
GCAGUCGAGGGGCAGCAUAAAAGUAGCAAUACUUUGGUGGCGACCGGCGCACGGGUGAGUAACACGUAUGCAACCUACCUAUCACAUGGGGAUAAUCCGGCGAAAGUCGGUCUAAUACCCGAUGGUAUUGAUUUUUCGCAUGAAAGAUUAAUUAAAGAAUUUCGGUGAUAGAUGGGCAUGCGUAACAUUAGAUAGUUGGUGAGGUAACGGCUCACCAAGUCAACGAUGUUUAGGGGUUCUGAGAGGAAGGUCCCCCACACUGGUACUGAGACACGGACCAGACUCCUACGGGAGGCAGCAGUGAGGAAUAUUGGUCAAUGGGCGAGAGCCUGAACCAGCCAAGUCGCGUGAAGGAAGAAUGUCCUAUGGAUUGUAAACUUCUUUUGUAAGGGAAUAAAGUGCAGCACGUGUGCUGUUUUGUAUGUACUUUACGAAUAAGGAUCGGCUAACUCCGUGCCAGCAGCCGCGGUAAUACGGAGGAUCCAAGCGUUAUCCGGAUUUAUUGGGUUUAAAGGGUGCGUAGGCGGACCAAUAAGUCAGUGGUGAAAGUUUGCAGCUUAACUGUAAAAUUGCCAUUGAAACUGUCGGUCUUGAGUGCAAGUGAGGUAAGCGGAAUGUGUUGUGUAGCGGUGAAAUGCUUAGAUAUGACACAGAACACCGAUUGCGAAGGCAGCUUACUGGUAUGUAACUGACGCUGAGGCACGAAAGCGUGGGGAUCAAACAGGAUUAGAUACCCUGGUAGUCCACGCAGUAAACGAUGAAUACUAGUUGUUUGCGAUACACAGCAAGUAACACAGCGAAAGCGUUAAGUAU